rnacentral:rRNA from 1 species
CACGUAGGGUGCAAGCGUUGUCCGGAAUUAUUGGGCGUAAAGGGCUCGUAGGUGGUCCGUCACGUCGGGAGUGAAAACCCGAGGCUCAACCUCGGGCCUGCAGUGGGUACGGGCAGACUAGAGUGCGGUAGGGGAGAUUGGAAUUCCUGGUGUAGCGGUGGAAUGCGCAGAUAUCAGGAGGAACACCGAUGGCGAAGGCAGCUCGCUGGGACGGUACUGACGCUGAGACGCGAAAGCGUGGGGAGCAAACAGG